ACACCAUGCUCAAAUCUAUUUGCUUUGCUUUUUUUUAGACUCUAUAAGUUGGAGGUAAAAUCGACCUAACUCAUUAAAUUUGUUUGCAUACUCCAGUACUGUCAUAUCAUCUUUUGUCUCAAAUCCAAGAACUUAUUUUCUUUCACUAAUCUCGCUGACUCAGAAAAACACUGAUCAUAAAAUCUCUUUUUGAACUCCUCCCAUAUC
rnacentral:lncRNA from 1 species